ACUUCCAUCACAACAUCUUGAAAAGAAAUUAGUAUCUGUUGUAACCAUUUUCUCAUCACUUGAUCUCAAGCAGUGAUUUUUUUUUUCAUUUUCAUGCCAUUGGGGAGUUCCAAAAUAAAUUUGCUGUUGCAGUCAGUGAGCAGUGCAUAUUCUUUGGCAAUUACGACAAAAUUAACAACAAGAAACAUGGGAACAGGUUUUUAAAACAUGUGUCUGGUUCUUGGGAGGGUUUUUCAACUCAAGCAACUGCAAACAUCAUCAAAAUUCCAUUAUAUAAUCCACUAGUUAGUAUGAAAUGCUGAUGACCAACCCCUGGAACUGCACAUCCAAGCAGUCAAACUAGUAUGAGUCACAGAACUGUGGACUUAGAGUCAGUGAGAAGAACACCCAGAAAAAUCUGCAUUGAUUGUGAACUAAGAAUAAGAGAAAUGCCCAGUUCUAUCAGAAAUCAUGUGUCAAUAUUAUAUCACCAACUCUUUUCUUGGACUAAUCACAUCAAGGAGUAACUGCAAGAUCUUAUGAAAGUUUUUACCAUCAAACAUAUUUACUUCCAUUCAGAGGUGUUAAGUUUGAUUCCUUGCAAAUUAAAUAAAGAGUAUAUAGAAAACUGUGUCUCAAAAUGUUCUUAAAAUGUUGAUUCUCAGGCCUUAUUUUAUAUUUACUAAAUCCAUAUUUCUAGAGAGUGGGAGCCAGACAAUUAUAUUUUUAGUUAGUGUCCAAAGUGGACUGGAUGUACCUUAAAGUUCAAGAACCUCUGACAUAGAAGCUUAGCUAACAAGAUUUUAUUCCUAAACUGUCUUGGUGCAUAUAUCACAACUGUUACACAAAUGAGUACAGACACAAUGAUCCUGGGGGUAUUCUAUGAUUUAAGUUGUUAUUGCCAGUUUCUGACAUUUUCAGCAAUGGAGAACAAUCUGAGUGUUUCUGUUAAUAAGGGGAAAUUGCUUGACAUAGAGGCAAAGAAGACAAACUUUGGAGUCAGACAAGUUGAGAUCAAAUCCUGGAUCUUCCACUGCAUGACUUUGGCCAAAUCAAUCACUUUCCAAGAGUCUCAGUUUUCUCAUUUGAAAAAUGGAGAUAAUGAUGUCUGUAUAAUAGGCAAGAGUUUAUGGGAAUUAAAUGAGGGCAUGAGAAAUCAUGGUGAAUUAGGCAGUUCCAUAGAGGUGAAACAAAGUCUGUGAUGGGACUUGGUGAGGGAUAAAACCAGAAAUACAAGCAGAAGCCAGGUGAUGAAUGGUUUUGUAAGAAGUCAUCUGAGCCUGACGAUGGAUAGUUUUCCAAAUUCCAGAACGUUGCUUCCUGGUCUUUAUUUUGUUAAUGAUACCCAGGUAGUUCUUCCCUCUCCUUGAAUAAUCUCGGCCCCAUUUCACCCAAACCUCAACUAUCUAAAAAUUCUGAAGAAGGUGAUAAGGACACGGCUUCAAGAAUCCUUGAGAACACCGGAGGGAAAGGAGGUAGUGCUAACCUUGCCGCCAGCAGGAGGGGUUGCUGGUGAUAACCUGAGCAGUCUCAGUGGAGGCUGCCAGGGAUCAGGGAGAGUCAUACUCACUGGCACCGAAGCAUCAACCAGUAUUCACUGAGCACACACUGGGCAAGGAUCUGAGGAUACGAAGAUAAGUGAGGUCUGUGUGCUGUUAACUAACACAGUCUAAUGGGAGAAUAUAUGCAGGGGACACGGGUUCAAGCCCUGGUCCAGGAAGAUCCCACAUGCUGAGGAGCAACUAAGCCCACGCACCACAACUACUGAGCCUGCGAGCCACAACUACUGAGCCCGUGUGCCUAGAGCCCAUGCUCUGCAGCAAGAGAAGCCACAGCAAUGAGAAGGCCGCGCACUGCAAGGAAGAGUAGCCCCACUCACCACAACCAGAGAAAGCCUGUGCAUAGCAAUGAAGACCCAAUGCAGCCAAGAGAAAAAAAAUAUAUUGUUUUAUAUUUACAAUUAGUAAUAGAAUAUAAGCACUGAAAAUAAAAACUGAAUAUAAAACAAAUUCUGGUAGUGUGAUUAUCUGCCAUAUGUAUUUUACUGCAAUAGAGGUAGCAGACCAAAAGACUUUCAAAGUUAAUGAAAGUACUUGAAAACCUCCUUAACUCCUAAAUUUAAAGUGUAUUUUAAAUGAAACAUUCACUACUUUUGCACGCAUUAUGAAAUGAAUCAUUCACCAUCUUUUAAGACAUCUUUCUUUUUAGGGAUCUUAUAUAUAGUUUAUUUAACUGUCUUUGUGCUUUAUUUUAUUAUUUAUUUAUACUUCAUUCCUUUAUUUAUCUAUUUUUAUUGAGGUAUAAUUGACAUAUAAUAUUAUGUUAGUUUCAGGUGUACAACAUGAUUCAAUAUUUGUAUAUAUCAAGAAGUGAUCACCACAGUAAGUUUAGUUAACAUCCCUCAUUCAUUUUUAUUGCUGAAUAAUAUUCCAUUAUAUGGUAUACCACAUUGUAUUUAUCUAUUCAUCAGUUGAUGAACAGUGGGUUGCUUCAACUUUUUUGACUGUUAUGAAUAAUGCUUCUAUGAAUAGUUGUAUACAAGUUUUUUUUUGUUUUGGGGUUUUUUUUUUAGUUGAUUUAAUUGUCUUUGAAUUUCAGGAUGUUGUGGCACUUAAAAUUAAAGAUUAUCAAAACUUGCUGAAAGAUAAGUGGAUGCUUCAGUAGUCUGGAUUAUGUCUACAACCAGCCAAUACUUGAUAGCAAUGAACAAAUGAGUAGAUUGUGACAGUUUAUCCAUCUUUUCAACCUAACUGUGUAGAUACUGAAUUAAGAGCCUGUUGCUUACUAGGGGCUAUUAAUACAUCAAGACGGUAUUUGCAGGAUCCAGCCAGGUAAUGACCUUCCUGUACUUUGACAGUUGAUAAAUUGUAAGGUUGAUACACACUAGAGUUUCCCAGACCCCCACCUGAAAGUAGUAUUGGGACAAAGUGGUGAUGUAUGGUCAUAGAAUUCUCUAAGUUGGGGUGAAUAUUUGAUUUAAAUAGUACUUUGAUUUCAAAAUGAUUUUGAAAUUAGAGACACUACUAGAACCUGAAUGGACUUUCUUUUACUGCCUAACUCCAUUUUGGCCCUUCAGAGAUACCUCCCAGCUCUGACCAUAACCGUAAAUGUGAUCUCACACUCAGCCCGUGUAGAUGCACAUGUUGAACUUGAAUCACACUUGUGGAUUUGACCAUCAUUCCCAUGUCCAUUGCUGUCUUUUAGCUUACCACCUGCCACAGGUGCUUUGUAUUAAUACUUUGCUAAAUUAAUAAGUCUAAUAAAUUUAUGUUCUCAGCAAGAACAUGUUAAACUUCUUUUUCUGGUGGGUGUGACCAACUAGUAUAACUUCACAGACAUACUCGUUAUUCUCGGUACCAACUUAAAUUACUCACAUAGAACUUAGUUUUGAAGACAAAGUAUUUCAAAUACUUCAAAGGCAUGGAAACAUACAGAAGACAAACUGAAUUUUAAAAGUCCUAUUUAAAAUUUUGUGAUAUUAAACAUGAGUUUUCCUUGGCAAUAUUUGAGGAAAAUUGUGGUUAUUUUUUAAGCCCUCCUACCACUCAUUUUUAAGUAAGUCAUACCUUGAGCAAGGGUGACAUAUUUCUGGGUGGCAGAGUUCUUUUCCACGAAGUGGAAAUGUUAUGUUACAUUAAACAAAAUGAGGCUCCUUCUAGUUCUAACAGUUUGUGAUUCUAGGAAAUAAGUAUUUUUAUAAUUACAUUUUCUUGUAAAUUUAAGAGGAAGGGAACUUUAGAAUUGCAUUAGGUGAAGCUGCAAGGUUAAUUCUCAUCAUAAUGCAUAAUUCUGAUGAUUUUUUGUGUGGUAAACUUUUCUAUCUUAUGUGAUUAUAAAUGAUUACUUUUUUAUACCCGAGUGCUUAGCAUACAAUAUGAACUCAAUAUAUAUAUAUAUUUUUUGAACUCAAUAUAUUUUUGGAAUAAUCAAAUUUUUGCAAACAACCAUAAUUAUUGCCUGGUCUACCACUUCAGUUCACAAAAGAGACGUGAGGGCCUGAGAUGGCAAAACAGACUUGUCCAAGAUCAGCUCAUGUCUUUGACGCCUUUAGUGCUUUUCUUUCUACACUGGCGUAGACUCUCAAUGUAAGAUUUCAUAAAUUUAACCAUUUUUAUUAAGACAGAAAAAAAUACCCCUGAGAUAUAAGAUUGAAACUAUUACAACCUAUCCUGACCAUCAGGGUGAUGGAUAAAGAUACUACUCAGGCAUUCCUAGAAUUAAAGGAACCAAAAGAGUUAUAUUAUCCUCACAAUUAUAAAAAGAAUGAAGAUUUUAGCUAAUAAUUGAUAAAAUUGUUAUUGAUAAAAUAACAAUAAAACUUUGUUAUUGUUUUUUUUCUGUUGAGUGAAAGAAGUUGGUCUUUGUUAAGUUUUCCAAGGCUUAUAAUUUUAAGAUUGCCUGGACACUAGCACAUAGUUACGGCUUUGUAGAGGUGGGGUUUUUUAGGUGUUUUUCAAUUGACAAUGGUGGCAUUAACGUAAGUGUUUUCCCCUUUCUGUUUAAAAGAAUAGAAAGAUGCACUAGUAAAUUACUGUUUCAAGUCUUUUGCAUUCUAUUCAUAAUAUCAAUCAGUCCCAAGAUCUAGAAAUGGAAUUUACUAAAAGUGCUUUAUAUUUAACUAGAAACAUUAUAUUAAUUAUUAACAUCAAUUUAUUGCAUUAUGAAUUUCACCCUGCAGGGAGUAAGAUUAUUGUAAAGUAAGUGGAUGGAACCAGAAUCAUUGAUGUUAACCUAUAAAAAUCUUUAAAUUAUUCAUCAACAACAAUAUACUUUGUUUUGUGAGCAUAACCCUACGUAGUGACUUAAAGUUACACAUGUCUAAUGUAGGAGGGCAGGGCACUUGUCCCAGAGUAUGGCAGGCUGGUUUCAAAUCCUAGUCUGGUCAUUUCCAAUCCCUGUGACCCUGGGAAAGUUAGUUCACUUCUCUGUGUCUCAGUUUCCUUAUUGGUAAAGUAGGGCUAAUACCAGGGUCUACCUCAUAUCGUUAGAAGAAUUUCAUGAUUUAAUAUACAUGCCAAGCACAGAGUAAGUACUGAAUAAGUGUCAGUUAUCAUCAUUAUAACACAGAAAUGUACAGAAUAUAAUAAAGAGUACACACCUGCCAUGUAAGUUUCCAGUUUUUUAAAAGGUGUGAUUGAAUUGAUGUAAGUUAAUUCUGUGAUGAUGAUAGACUUGGUAUGCCCUGUUAUUUCCUCUGGUGUAUUGUAUUAAUUUAUGUAUUCUUCAGUAUAUGUGUGUAUGUACUGGAUCAGUAUAUAAAAUAUUUUUUGUGAUGGGUUAUGCUUGAAGGAUUGAAAGUGGCUGUCUAGAGCAUCUGAAUUCCUCCUCAACUGCUAAAAGUUACUUGGGUGCUGUCUAAGGUUUUUUUCCCAUCUAGUGAACAACGAGCAGUAAGAUUGGCUUUUGGGAUGGGGAGUGGUGAAGAUAAUGGUGUAAGUAGCUUGGGAGAGCAGGGAUCGCAUCCAGGUGUAGACUGGGCGGGGGACAGAGGCGGUGGGUGGAGAGGUACAACUGGGUGGAGGAGGGGAAGCCCAGAGCGUGCAGCAACUUGUGCUCAGACUCUGGGUUGGGCUGUAGAAAGGGUGGAGAGGCUCUGCUGAGAUUAAACAUGUUCGGUUCUUGAAAGGAGGCAGGUUGAGAGAAGGGAGAAAAGAAACUUUUAAGUAAGCUAACGCUUGCAUGGCGUGAAAUGUGGUUCUGAGAGGCUGGCACUCUUGCACACUUUCUGGGAGAUGAUAGAGGGGUAGUUGUGAGAGGGGUGAAGUGGUGAAAGGAGUUGAGGGAAGAGAUAAGGAAAGGUUGGAGUCAGUUGAGUUAAGGAUCCUGUCGCUAGAAUCCUUAUGACUCAAGGUGAUGUGUUUUAGGCACUGCUUGUAAGCCAAUUAAGAGCUAAUGGGACUAAAUUGUACCGGAGGCAGUAUAUAAGAACAAAACGCUGCUGCUGCAUUCAUAAAGUCCAAAACUGGGUUUCUGUAGCUGACGAGGAACUUUGUCCGGUUGUCAUGUUCGUAGUGAAUUGAAGAAGCACAAAGGGCAAUGAUGUGCUUUUCGGUACAAUCUGUUCAGGGACUUUUCUGAGGAGACAGUGAACCACCCAGGAAAUAUGCCAAAGGUUAUAGUUAUACUAAAACUGAUAAACGAAUGAUAGAGAGGCAAUAAAGAACAGACUGUGGGAAAAAGGGGUGGAUAAGUAGUUCUGGUUCUUUUCAUUGUAAUUGAUCUUUUGUCAGACAGCGUCCCUAUCUACUAAUACUUGCCCCUCGAUCGCAAAUAGACUCCCCUCCGAACCCCCAAGCAUUUCCGAGAUUUCUUGGAGGAUUUCAUCAAAGCGUUCAUGAGCACAUCUGGUGAUGCCAAGUGCACCACUGCCCUUGCCCAGACAGUGCCUCCUCUCCCGCUAAAAAAAAUUGGAUCCCAUGAUGCAGUGGUCUGGGGAGAGGAAAAGAGAAUGUCACCCUCUUUUAUUAUGGAAGGACAUCAAAUUAAUGAUGCGUUGUAGCAUCUUUCAAAGGUGAAAGUUUCUGUACCACUGUCUCCUUAAAUCUCAGGCAUGGGCAGGGCAGGAAGAACUCUGAGUGACACACACUGUCCUGUUCUCAAGUGUGCUUCACUCUCCCAGGACAAGGCUUUGCUCCUGGGCCACGCUAUGCUUGUCUGCUUCCAGUACAUGAAGUCUCUGUCUCUCCUCCUGACCUCAUGUUGAUUAUCACUGUAUCUUUUGUAAAUGACUCCACUUGAUUAUUUUUAAACGUUUCAAAGGAUGCUAAAGGGAGAUAAAUAAAAUGAUAUAUAUUUUUUCAUGUUAGAGCUUUUAAAGCAUUUUUUCAUAGAAAGCUCUUUUAGAAUUUGGUAAUUUCAGUGAAUAAAUAUAUAACUACAUUAACUGUGUUCUCCCCUUUUGUGGCUCUUCCUCAAAGGCAAGGGCUGCUGACAUGGGGGAGACAUGGACUGAAGUACAAGGAAAGCUCCCUUCCUGCCACCCAGUUGUGUGCCUCUGGGUUCAUUAUGUGUGGACGGGCUCAUCAGAAAUUUAGGCAUGCAUGAGGGACUGAUGAGCUACCUGGGAGAGAUGCUUACCUGUGAAGACAGUCAGGAAGACAAGUUUGGUCUAGGAAACAAAGCAUUGGUUGUCUGAGAAGUAGAAACAAUCAUGAAUACACCAUGUUGUUCAUGUAUCAGUCUGCCUCUUGACCUCAGUGCAUACCUGUUUCCAUUGGAAAAGGAGGGUUUGAAUGUAAAACUGAAAUGAUAUCGUCAGUAAAACCUAUAAACACUAAUUACUGGCAACACUAAAACAUGGCUCCCAAUAGGAAAGAAAAGUCUUAAUAACUCUUCUUUGCAGAACCCAUUGUAGCUUCUACAUUUUGAGGAUUCCAGGAGGAGACAAUGAUAUAUCACAGAAGGUGAUGAUAAUAAUGUAAAAGUGGCUUAUCUCUGAGCGCUGUAGCCCCUUGGAGCAAACGUCAUUGGAAGAGGCCAGCGAGGAGAGGAAGAAAAUGGUAGAUGUCAUAUGGAAUGUUCGGGUGGACACGUUCAUGAACAUGUAUGAGACAUCUUGGGAAUUCUGGGUGUUCUAGACAUAGCUGGGGUGCAGGAUAGAUUUUGUAGGGAAAGGAGGUCCUCUCAUAACAGCUGGAAACAAGAACCAACAAAACAGGUGCAGCAAAGGUACAUUCUGUAUGGGUAUUCAGGUCCUUUAGCCUGUUAGAUCAGUUAUUUAAAGGGGUAAGUUAGUUGAAUGGGGUUCAAAUAGCUUCUGUAGGUCAAUAAAUACCAACACAUGCAUCUCCUAUAAGGAAGAAUGCAUAGGUUGUCUGAGAAAGACAGCUCUUUAUGCAAACAGUCAUAGGGUCCCGAUGUAACAGAGCUAGUGCUGGAAACUGCACCAAAAUUCUUCUGGGUUGUCCGCAGUCCCAUCCUGAGGAAAAUGAGUUGAGAGUGGAGUGACAACUGGGAAUCUUAACCAUUAGUAUAAUACCCAAUGAGCUGCCUAGACAGCCCCUGUACGUGUGCUUCCACGAGGUUGCAUUUCUAUAAACCAGUGAGCAGGGCAGGCCACUGGCUAGAAGAGUAUUAUUCUUUACUUGGUAUCUCAAGUCUUCAUAUCUGACCCAAAUCUUCCUCUCUUCCCUCAUCACUUCCAGCUUCCAGCAUGUUCUCCACUGAACUACAUAUACUUUCUCCAAAUGCUAAGCCCUUUCAUUCCUCUAUGACAGUGCUCAUGUAGUUUCAUCCUGUUGGGAUGUCUUUCCCCCAGCCCUCGCCUCAUUUCUCAGUCUGGCAAAUUAUUUCUUAUUUUUUUAAAUGCAUCUCAAAUGGCUUCUCCUCUUUGCAACCUUCCUUGACUCCCUAGGAAGAACUAGUGUGUUCUAAUAUCAUUUCUAUUAUAAUACAGGUGUAUCUCGGAGUUCGGUUACAGACUACGGCAAUAAAGCAAUUCAAGGAAUUUUUUUGUUUCUUGGUGCAUAAAAGAGUUAUCACUAUAGUGAUACUGUAGUCUAUUAAAGUGUGCAAUAGCAUUAUGUCUAAAAAAGCAAUGUACCUACCUUAAUAAAAAAAUACUAAAAUUUA